AGAGUAAAUUAUACAGUCGCAUGCAGCAAUGCAUGAGGAAAGUCCGAGCUCCACAGAGCAGGGUGCUGGGUAAUACCCAGUGAGGGUGACCUUAAGGAUAGUGCAACAGAAAGAGACCGCCGCGCAAGCGGUAAGGAUGGAAAGGCGAGGUAAGAGCUCACCAGCAAUUAGGCGACUAAUUGGCUAUGUAAACCCCACCUGGAGCAAGACCAAGAACGGACCGUAGAGUGGCUGCUCGUCACAGUCCAAAUGGUAGGUUGCUGGAGUCUGCCGGUAACGGCAGGCGUAGAUAGAUGACUGUUUAAUACAGAACUCGGCUUAUGUAUUUACUCACCAA
rnacentral:RNase_P_RNA from 1 species